rnacentral:lncRNA from 1 species
CACAAGAUCCCUUUGUAGCUCGACACUGACAUUUCAUCGUUUUGCAAGAAGAGCUCUUACUGCAAGUGCAGCACACAUCAGAUGUUGACGUGGGUUUCACUGCCUCAUCUGAAGGAGAGUCCAGGUUCUCUUCGUAUGAACGCCUCGGCACCACACUAGAGCGCCGUUUUCCCACUUUGAAGUUUCUUUUCCUGUUCAGUUUUAUAACUGAUUCCUGCUCCGACUCACGCUCUGAUUCUUGCUCAGGUUUCCACUCAUCGUCAAGAUCUGGAUCUUCCCGUUCAUGGUCCGAGUCAUCAGAAUCAGAGGUGUCCAUGUCCUCAUGAACUAUAACCGAGUUCCGGGCUUCCUGCUUUUUCAAGCUGUGCUCGUUGUUUAAAUUCCCCUCCGCAGACCUUUUGAUCAAUUCAGAAGCCUGUAAAAUGGAAUCCAUGCAAAAUUUCAGAGGAUAAGUGGCAUUAGCUAUCAAGAUAAAACAAGAGUAGUAGAAGCUAAUUUUACUAACCUGUGCCUUCACCUGAUGCGCGAGGUCUGCUUUUUGGAUCUCCAAGUAUCUAACAAAACUGCUAAACUUCACAAUUUUUUCUUUCAGGUCUCUUAUUAGGACGUCCUUUUCCCUGCAGUCUGCUUCUCUAUCUCGAGCUAGACACCUUUUAAUUAAACAAUGGACAUGUAUAAGAAUAAAGAGUGAGUUGGGAGUCAUAUUUGGAAUAUGAUCUCUAAAAAAGCUUCAGUGAGAUCUUACCUCGCAGUUGAUGCCAAAUUGAACAGAUAGUUCAUGAUACUCUUUGCGUCACCUAAUGUUCGAACUUGGUUCCACCUCCCUCUUCCACCAAAUACACGCUCCCGUUCCUCUGCUUCAGACAAUUGUGAUGCCAUGGAAACGAGAGUGUUUGAAGAGGUCGCAAGCAUAUUCUCCAGAGCAAAAAUCCUUGAGUUUCUUGCACCCGGAGACAUGGUAUCAUCAUCAACGCUGCUUUGGUUACAGAAGACGUAAAGGGUUUACUAGUUUUUCAGUAAUGAAAUGGUAGUGGUACUGGUUUAUACAAAAUCACCACUCACCUUAUCUUGGCAUUCUUGAGCAACUCGUUUUCUUCCCUUAGCCUUGCAACUUCCUUCGCCAUUCUUGCUCUCCUGAAUUAUGACAGGAGAAAGUUUAAUAGGAACAUUAUUUUAGAAUCAGGCCAUGAAGAAAGAUAUAAAACAAGCACAUACUCUUCCAUUUGCCUCUCGUACUCAGAACGCACUUCGUGAACCCGAACAGUGACUUCAAUCUCAUGCUCAAUUGCUUGCAUCAAUGCCUGCAAAUAAAUCAUCAGAAAGUUGCAUUAACAAACCAACCAACACAGUCACCUAAUAAAUGGAAAAACAAAGCAUCGAUUUCAUAUAAGUUGGCGGGUGUUACCUGAGUUCCUGGACCAUUAGCACUUGCACCACCUGCAUAUAUAGUAGGAUAACCAGUUAGUAAUUUAUACCAACAAACAUAGAACUGAUUAUACUAAUCCUUACUCAAUGUCUCCCGCGAAGACGCCUUUCGAUUUUCUAAAAGCUCUUUGAGUCUUUUUGUCGCCUGGGAAGCCUCUUCUGUCUUUCUUUGCAAAACCUGUUAAAACCACAGACGAUUGAGCAGACAUGAUAACAGAAAAGAUCAAGUUAAUUUGUCUGAAAGUUUAUAAAGAUGUGCGCACCAGCUUCUGUUUUUGAUUCAGAGCCAUGAGCUUGUGCAUCUCAUACUCGUUUCUCCUUCCCUCUUUUUUUAGCUGGUUAAAUUUCAAAAUACAAUAUAACGAGAGGUUCAGUACACACAAGAGAUUUCUGAAUAACCAUGUCAAAUGUCUUCCAAACUACAACGAGACUUUCUACAAGCACAUGUUGUAUUUGAAUAGAGGUGGUGACUAAUGAUUGAGAAGAUGAAACUUGUUUAACUUGUUCCUUAGUGGUGCAAGACAGACACACUUAUCAAUCAAGUAAGCCUCAAAGUGAUCAAGAAAAAUCUAAUAUACCUGCAUGACUUCCUUCUCUCUUGAGGCCUUCCAAGCCCUGAACUGUUCUGAUUCUUGCUUAAUUUUUUGCUGCAAUUGCACCUGCAAGUCCAACCGAAGCAGAAAAGUAUAGUUAAGAGACACAGCAUGAGCAUAUAUGUUACAGUGUAUUAAAAUGGAGAUCACAGGAGAAAAAGAACACCUUUUGGGACUUAAUUCUGUGUAUUUCAUCUUGUAGUUUUCUUGCUGCGUCGUCACUUUUCUGCUUUUGCCUUAAGAGUUGAGCUUGUGCAUCUUGUUUCUUCUUCAACUCAGAAACCUAAAGGGACGAUGCAUCAUGAAAAACCAUACUGUAUGUAGAUGACUGAGUAUAGCUGAUAAACCAAAAGAGGCGGUACCUGGGUUUCAAGCGUGUUCAGUUUCUGAAGAUACGAUUCCUUUAGUUUUUGGGCACCAUCGCCUGGGGCAGAUGGUAUGCUAGCAAGGUUCUGUCUCAACCCUUCAAUUUCUCUCUGCCAAUCCAUAUAUUAUUUAAUCAAAAUCCGAGUUCAUAAAUUUCAUCAAAAUACAAUAUAGAGCACAUAACACUGACCUGCAGUGCCCUUUUUUCUUGUUCUAGUUCAUGGACCUUUUUCUCAUAAUGUUGUUUGAGAACAGAUGUACCACCGCUUGAAUAACGCUUCAUUUCAGCCUUCAUGAAUGAAUUGAAAUGUUAUUGCAGAUGAAAUACUAAAGGAGAAGUUGAUAUGAAAAUAGUACCUCCUUUUCUUCAAGCCUCUUAUCCAAUUCCUUUAGCUCCAUAUCUAACUUUUCUUGAAGUGAGCAAUGUUCAAGCUCCUUUUCUUGAAAUUCAACCUCAUCUGCACACACUGCAAAUCAUGUCAUCUAUGUAAACAAAUGAACACAGCUUAGCAUAGCAUCCGUCAUUAAAAAAAAAGAAUGUGUUUAUCAAUUUAAGAAUUAGGCAAGCAAAAAUGGUACAACAUUAGUAAAAGUUCCAACCUGCGACAUCAAUCACUUUGUCUUCACAAUCUGACGACUCGUUGGAUGAGGGGAACAAGACAUUACUCGAACGGGGUUUUCCAUAAUUAUAUAUAUACUUAUGAUUUUAAAGUAUGUGUAAUAUCAAUAUAAAUAUUUAAUAAAAAAUGAGAGAUGUAAACUAGAAAUAUAAGGAUAAGUAUAUAUAUGUUCGGUUAUCUUCGGAUAUCCAUUCGGGUUCAGAUAUUAUCCGUUCGGGUUCGGAUAUUAUCUGUUCGGGUUCGGAUAUUAUCUGUUCGGGUUCGGAUAUCCAAUCUCUCAUAACUUAAUACCCGUUCGGGUAAUCCGUUCGGGUUCGGAUAUUAUCUGUUCGGGUUCGGAUAUCCAAUCUCUCAUAACUUAAUACCCGUUCGGGUAUUUUGCUACUUGGGUUCAGAUUUCGGUUCGGGUUUUUUGGAUCGGGUUCGGGUUCGGGUGCGGCUUCAGGUAUCGGAUAAAGUGCCACCCCUACUUGAUACUAUCAUACUAGGUGUUUUGCCCGCGAUGCGGGUUUAAAUAUUUUCAUAAUUUUUGAAAAGUUCUUUGUACACUAUAUUCAUAAUUUUAGUAAAAAUUUUAUUUGAUUAAUAUUUAAUUAUAUAAUUUAUGUUUUUAAUUUUUUACUAAAAUACUUUUUCGGAUAACAAUACAAUAUAUAUAUAGAAAUUAUAUUUUUUAAUUAUAUUUUUAUAUUUUGGAUAAUUCAAUAUUUUAUUUUUAAUUAUAUAAUUAAGAAUUUUAUUUGAUUAAUAUUUAGUUAUAUAAUUAACUUUUUACUAAAAGACUUCUUCAUAUAACAAUACAAUAUAUACAAAAAUUAUUUUUUUUUUAAUUAUAUUUUCAGAUUGUGGAGAAUUUUUACUAUUAUUUUUAUUUUAAAAUUUUGGUAGUAUAUUCGAGACUCAUAACGAUUUCUAGUCUAAAAUAAAGGUUGUUUGUAUAAAUAGAUUCACAUUUAAAUAAAAAAAAGAUACAAAUUCUGAAGGAAAAAAAACAUAUAUAUAAUUAAGUACAAUAAUUUUCUUGAAUUACUUUAUUCAAAGCUCUAAAAUUUUCUGGAAGUGUUUCACGAGUUAGAAAGGGGCUUUUGUGUAAUUGUCAUCAGAAGUUAGUUUAAUACCAGAAGAUUAUUACCGGAGACGACAGCUUUAAGAAGGAACGUGGGCAAUUAACACUGUUUUAGGUUGUCGGUGGGGAAGAAAAAAUGACAUAUGUGGACAGAUUUUCAAUUAUUCUCAUUUAUCUACUUGUGUUUUUCAAGAUUUAAAAAGCUAAAAUCGUCGAAUUUAAGGUGUCGAUAUAUAAUGUGAAAAUAUGAGACUACUAUUCUAAAAAAGAAAAAAGACUAGCCUUGGCUUAUUAAUUUCGUACUGGUAAAGUGGUAGUAUGGUAUUGUUUGUUGAUUCAUUAGUUCAUUAUUAAUUUUACUGAUAUAGUAUUGCCGACACUAUCAAAAACUAACCCAAUAGUAACAUUCGGUUUGGUUUUUGUUUGACUAAAAUAUCCGAAAUAAAGACAACAAACCAAACACCAGUUGUAUUAAUAUUAGUGGUGAAAGUUUCAUUCAUUAAUUGAUCACCGUGAAGGCGUGAAACUAACCAUCAAGUUCAAACAUGUAUCUCAAUGAUUUUGUAUUGUCAACAAGACUCACAACUCUAAAAAUUCGCAUAUGCAUUCGUUCAUCUAGAACAUGUUCUUGACACACACCAAAACAAAGAUUAUCGGAUAAUAAGAAAAAGAUCCAAACCCAUCUUUCCUCGUUCGUCAAGCAACGUCUCCGUUUCCUGGUUAGAUCCGACGAGUGUGGUUCUCUUUUUCAUCUGAAGUUGUACUUCCACUUGCCCCACCAGAACUGCUCUGCACAAAACCACCAUUACCAACUGAUUCACCACCGCUUUGGUCGGCGUUUCUUUCUCUCAGCAUGUUGCUGCCUUUAGAAGUCAUCGACCUCGGUAGCUUCAGUUUGGUAUUAUUUGCCUCUCCAGAGUCGCUCGGCUCCUGAGAUGAAGUUGUUGCUGGUGGUGGAUCUACAACGAGCUGAAGCAGAGGCUUCCUCCAUUUCCUUCGUUUCAUUGGCUUUGGCACAUUUGUUUUACCCUGAAACCAAAUAUCAUCAAAUAAGCUAUCUGCUGUCACAGAAACGGAGAAAUGAUCAAAUACAAUGAAAAAGUCUUAGAGAAUGUUACCGUCGUGUUUCCUAUGUCUGACAGAGGCUUUCUUCUUGUUCUGGUUCCUUCUCCAUCAUUAGUCUCCUCAACUGGCUUGUCAGCAAGAGCGUUUUGGAGCAGCAAAGCUCCACGUGAAGCAAGGACUUGUUGUUGUUCUUCCUGAGAACUCUCACUGUUGUUGUUCUGCUUUUCGUCUGCGUUCCUGUUGGAACAUUUAACUGAAGAGCAACCGCAUGAAGGACCACAAGAUCCCUUUGUAGCUCGACAUUGACAUUUCAUCGUUUUGCAAGAAGAGCUCUUACUGCAAGUGCAGCACACAUCAGAUGUUGACGUGGGUUUCACUGCCUCAUCUGAAGGAGAGUCCAGGUUCUCUUCGUAUGAACGCCUCGGCACCACACUAGAGCGCCGUUUUCCCACUUUGAAGUUUCUUUUCCUGUUCAGUUUUAUAACUGAUUCCUGCUCCGACUCACGCUCUGAUUCUUGCUCAG